rnacentral:sRNA from 1 species
GCACUUCGCAGACAGAUAGGUGUUCCUAAUAGUUGGGUCCACCACUGUGUGCGGUUCGAUCGAGUGAAGCUAAUAAAAUAACCGACGCGACGAGCUAAAAUGUUCGAAGGCAACUAAAAGCAGCAAACGGAAAUUCUUAGCCGCCGACCGGCAAACAAUCGCAUCA